UGGCUGUAGCUAUAUGAAUGAAUAUAAGUUAACUGGCCGGUUAUUGUUUUUGGGAUUCCUUCUGCUGGAGGGGUCUCUCUAGUUGACAUAUCUGCUUACCGAACUACUUACUUUU